rnacentral:rRNA from 1 species
UUCCAGACUCCUACGGGAGGCAGCAGUGGGGAAUAUUGCACAAUGGGGGAAACCCUGAUGCAGCGACGCCGCGUGAGUGAAGAAGUAUUUCGGUAUGUAAAGCUCUAUCAGCAGGGAAGAUAAUGACGGUACCUGACUAAGAAGCCCCGGCUAACUACGUGUCAGCAGCCGCGGUAAUACGUAGGGGGCAAGCGUUAUCCGGAUUUACUGGGUGUAAAGGGUGCGUAGGUGGCAUGGCAAGUCAGAAGUGAAAGCCCGGGGCUCAACCCCGCGGACUGCUUUUGAAACUGUCAGGCUGGAGUACAGGAGAGGUAAGCGGAAUUCCUAGUGUAGCGGUGAAAUGCGUAGAUAUUAGGAGGAACACCAGUGGCGAAGGCGGCUUACUGGACUGUAACUGACACUGAGGCACGAAAGCGUGGGGAGCAAACAGGAUUAGAUACCCCUGUA